UACUGUACAUUCAUAAGACCUCAGUCAAACAGUGUAAGGUGAUUAAUUUUCAUGAUAUGAUGACAGAGUAAUAACUGUUUUCGCUAUUUCCACGGAUAAUCUGUUAUCAUGGUAACCUGUUUGAAAGGGCAGCGUUCCGGCGGUGUCAAAUAUCAACACGUCUGGGAGGCUCCGGAAACAGCUUCAGACAGGUUUUCUUCAUACCUGACGCAGCUUCGCCUGAAAAGCGAUGAGAUAUUUAAUAUGAUAAAAAGAUAAAAAAAGUGAAGAUACGAGAAUAAAGUUAGCAUGGCAUGUUCUGGUUUGAAACGCUGCAAAGUGGCCCUGGGCUUUGCUGUUAUUUUUGACAUUUUUGGCUUUACGGCCCUGUUUCUGGGGCUCUUUGCGCCACUGGAAAUGAAGGGGAGAGAUUUUGGGGACCUUCUUGUCUACACUGGGGCCGUCUUGGUGCUGAUAUCUCUUGGCGGAUGGGUCAUGUGGUACAGCGGCAACAUUGAGGGUAUGCCAACACAAAAGGAUCUGAGCGGAAUCGGCGAUGCUGUGGAUCGCUUGGCCCGCAAACUCAGCAGGAAAAUAUAUACACAUCAUGUCCACAGAGGGCCCUGACUUUUCGACGGUGAUCCUGUUAGCUGAUUUAUUUCUGAUUUCUAUUUUUUAAAUAAAAAUGACAGUGACUCAUUUUUGUGCCUGACAGAUUUAAAGGGGAAAAAUAGUAUUGUUAAAUGAAGUAUUCUGACCUUACACCCUGCUUAGGUAAACUGCCUGGAAACAGACUGCAACAGAAAUUUCAAUAACUCUUUUGUACUUUUUUAAUGUAAAGAUUUGUUCCGUUACUGUAACAAGUAAUUCAGAACAAUACUAAACAAAAUUGUUACAAUUUUACUGUACUAUAGUGCAAUGUAUUUUUUUGUUACUUUGUUAUCAAGAAAUGGUUGCAUUGAACAUGUAUGCAAAAUGUGUAUGAUCUUGAUUGAUAUUUGGCAAAUUGUCAGUAUUGAUUUUUUUUUAUCAAAAUGAAUAUGUUCAAGUGGCUAGAAAAUUAUGUUCCACCAAUCAGAGAACAUUUGCAGUACUUCAUAUGAUCUCUAGGUGGAGACAAACGUGAAAAUUUCAUGUUCAUAUUUUUACACGUAUAAAAAUGACAUUUUUGACAAAUUAAAAGGUGUUUUUUUUUUUUAAAUAAAUGUUUAAAAAUAUGUAUCCUUUAUGUUGCUCUUUGCUACAGAUGUGAGAGUUCUGUACAUCAGUUUAAAAAAGUGUGAUAAAUAUAAAACUGCAUUAUUGUUGUAGUUUCUUUUUGAAAUAUCUUAAACCCUGAAUAUUGUGUUUUUUAAGUAGAUCAGCUUUCUUCUCUGCCUCUUCUAAAAGUGCCUCCAGUAAAUAAAGAAGCUUACAGUUA